rnacentral:rRNA from 1 species
GAUGAACGCUGGCGGCGUGCCUAAUACAUGCAAGUCGAGCGAACAGAUAAGGAGCUUGCUCCUUUGACGUUAGCGGCGGACGGGUGAGUAACACGUGGGUAACCUACCUAUAAGACUGGAAUAACUCCGGGAAACCGGGGCUAAUGCCGGAUAACAUUUAGAACCGCAUGGUUCUAAAGUGAAAGAUGGUUUUGCUAUCACUUAUAGAUGGACCCGCGCCGUAUUAGCUAGUUGGUAAGGUAACGGCUUACCAAGGCAACGAUACGUAGCCGACCUGAGAGGGUGAUCGGCCACACUGGAACUGAGACACGGUCCAGACUCCUACGGGAGGCAGCAGUAGGGAAUCUUCCGCAAUGGGCGAAAGCCUGACGGAGCUACGCCGCGUGAGUGAUGAAGGUCUUCGGAUCGUAAAACUCUGUUAUUAGGGAAGAACAAAUGUGUAAGUAACUGUGCACGUCUUGACGGUACCUAAUCAGAAAGCCACGGCUAACUACGUG